CGCUAUCCUCCGCGGCUACGAGCUCCGUCUCCUCCGCUGCACCUUCCUCUCUCCUCCUCCGCCGUCCGAUCCUGAACAACCGUCCGAUCAAACCUCGCCCACUCACCCCCUCUCCCCUCUAAUCUCCGCCCUCCUCACUUCCAUCGAGUCCGGCCGAUACCUCGAAGCCCUCACCUCCGCCGACGCAAACCGGCUCGUCUUCAAACUCACCGAUUCCGACUCGCUAGGCGACCACGACGCCGACCGAGUCUACUCCGAGUUGCUCCGCCGCGUGGAGUCGUUCAUAUGCG
rnacentral:lncRNA from 1 species